rnacentral:lncRNA from 1 species
AUUAUUUUAUUAUUUUAUCAUUUUCUUAAAAUGUCAUCCUUUACGAUCAUUGAAUCUAAUCAUGAUUUUUUUAAAGUGGAUGGUGGGGACAAAAUAAGUGGAUGAAACUUGUAAGAGUGGAUAAUAUUAGAUUAUUGAGGUUAUUUUAUAAUCAAUCAUCAAUAAUUGCUAUACGCUAAUCCACCAAAUCUACCACCCUGUACCCUGUAGGUAAAAAGGAGGAAUUCAGUCAAGAAAAUCAUUUUAUUCAGAAAGAGAAAUCAACCAAAGAAAACCAAAAACAAAAAGAGCAUGCUUUCAAAACCAUUUGUCAGAGAGAUAAUAGUGAUUUUUACUCUUUAUUAUAGUGAUUUUGAGAUGGUAACAAAUAAAAGGAUCAUCAAAACUCUUAGGCCUAACUUGACUCAUAACUAGUAUGUAAAGAAAUUGAGAAACUACAUCCAAUAGGAAAAAAAAAACUACAGGAAAGAUCAUUCUGAUUACAAAGUCGACUUACAUAUCAAACAGCAAAGCCUGUCACUGAUACAAAGUAGAAACAUAAAAUAUAAGUGAAAGAGGGGUUAAUUUUAAGGGACUGCAGAAUAUUUUAUCUAAUUUUGCAUCUGCUAUCUGCAAACUUUCUAUUUAUACACAUGUAAUAGUACAUCUGAUCAUUUUAAACAUGACAUGAUGAUACAAUAUAAAAUAAGAUAUAUAAUGAUACGAUUUAAAAUUUUAAUAAAAUUCAUAUAUAAGAUUGACAAAAAGAAUAAAAUGUUGACAUAAAUUGUGAUAAUUUUUUUUUUUUUUUGUAUUUUAGAGGUAUUUGACACAAAUAAAUAAAUAUAUAUACAAAAAUUGCCAAGAUUACAAUAAAGGAAGAAAAAAAAAAAAAAACUCAGUAUUAUCACAUGUCCAAAAUUGACAUUAUGGAGCACCUACCUCAGUUUACCUCUCAUUUCCAAAUAUCAUUCCUUUGUUUCCUCAGAUUCAUUGGUUGUUGCUACGGAUGUCAUGCAUGCUUGAAUAAUUUCAUGCUAAGCCAAUGGAAACAUACCGCAACCACAAGUACAGGAAGUGUUAACGGCACCAAGCAGCCGUAAUACCUGUUAAAGAAAGGGAAGCGAGAAUCAAGGAAAAAACAUAUUGGGACUUCAAUAUUUUGAAGUCAUGAAUAAUAAAAAGAAAUACCUGUAAAGCUUGAACAUAUAGUGUAAAAAAGAAAAAGAAAAUAUUUUAUAACACGUUUCAAUUUGAUAUGAUAAAUUUAAACACGGUAUGAUAACAUAAUAUAAAAAAUGAAAGCUACAUAAUUUAAAAUAUUAAUAAAAAUUUUAUACGGAUUUGACAAAAACAAAAAAAUGUGUUGUGUUUGACGUGUCCAUUCGUAUUUUUACACGUUUGACAGGAAUGUAUAAUUGGUCAAAUCUAAUUUUAAUAUGCAGCCAAGCACAAGGCUAAUUGAUUUUGCCUUGGUAGGCAAGUAACAGAACUACAUCACAUCUGCAACACUUGCAACCAUCGUAAAAGCAAACUAGCCUAAAUAAUCUUGAUGGUUUUUUUUGCCUGUCCACUUUAACAAAAACUAAUUUGAUCAAUCAUCAACAAGUUGGAAAGAUAACUGUCAAUUUGAAAAUGAAUCCACCAUGCUCAUUCGUACAAGCCACAAAAAAUCAUAUAAAGCAGAAGUUCAACUUGAGGGAACUCUAAUCACAAAGUGUUUCCCUUAUGAGUCGUUUUCCUUUGCACCACAUCCCCACUUUGGCCUUUCACCUUUCUCUUGCUACCUUUAUUCCUUCUGUUUGGAUAGAUAGGCAUAUACAGGUAGCCGGAAUAUCAACACACAUAUCUGUUUUGCCAUAUUUUUAUGCCUAGUAGGCUGUAGCACUAGCAACAAGAACAUCCAACUGCAUAUUUACCAAAAUUACCUAGACCGACAAAAGAUAACAAUGCAAAAACAUUAAGCAUUGCUAGCUUAGCCCAGACCAGAGGCGUAUCCACAUAUAUAGGUAAGAUGUCAUGGAUAACCCCAAAGAUUGGAAAAUAAGAAAAUUUGAAGGAAAAUUUUCCUUUGAACACCCCAAAAAUUUUCUCUUGGACACUCUUGUCGUCGAUAAAAUUGGUAAAUACAUCAGCAGUUAUAUAUAUAUAUAUAUAUAUUAUACUUGGAUACCCAAAAAAAUCUUGGAUAUGGGAAAAGAAAGUUAAAAGAAGGGAAAAAGAGAAAACUAUGCUAUUCUUUGCCAUCACUGACAAAGAUUAGCAGCCCAGGCAACAGCCAAAAAUCAGCUAAAUCAGCAAUUGCAAACAGACAUGCAACCAAAGUGUAUCAAGUAUUUAAAAAAAAAAAAAAGCAACCAAAGUGUAUGUAUUAGAUACGGAUAACAGCAUGCCAAAAUAGCCGAAGGCUAAUAGAGAGAUUAAACAUAAACAAUGCUACCAUCCUUGCACAUAUAAGCUGGCGAAAAAAGAACUGAGAUAAUUAAUCUGCUUCUCUGUUCAAACAUUUUUGAGAUUAUACUUCUAUCAAAUUAAAAAAAAUAUAUACAAAAAAUAAGUAAAGCUUCGAUUUAAUCUGUUACUUUUAUUUGUGUUUACUCCUUCUCAUUUACCUUCUAUUUACUUUAAAAUUUGCCUUAGUUGAUUAAAAUGUACUACUACUGUCAUAUAUUCAAUCGUGUUGUGUUUAUAUUGGGUAAAACAUGAAAAUUAUCGCAAGACGUCAAAUACGAAACAUAUUUUUUAGUUUUGUCUAAUCCGUAAUAGUUUUUAUCAAAAUUUUUAACUGAAUUACUUUCAUGUCUUAUUUUUUUUUGUAUAUUUUUGUGUUGUGUCUAAAAUUUUAAGAUCUAUAUUCAGAUAUAAUUGUUCUAUGUAAAGGUAAAAUCCCUUUUAAAAAUGAAAUCGAAGGAAAAUUGAAGAACAUAAAAACGACAAACUGAUAUUACCUGUCGUUUUGGAUGGCUGCAAUCAGAGGAUACUUCGACAGAAGAAGCUUCGAGGUAUAAGUGGUGAAGCGAAAUCCAGGCAAGACAAGAGAUCCGAUUCCCACCAUUAACCAUCCCCCACAAACCACCAUGGAUGACUCGGUUAACGGAUUUCCGGACCCAAGAAAAAAGAACACAAAUAAAACCAUAAAAG